rnacentral:tRNA from 1 species
GCCGGAGUGGCGGAACGGUAGACGCGCCCGCCUCAAAAGCGGGUGCCGCACAGGCGUGGGGGUUCGAAUCCCCCCUCCGGCACCA